rnacentral:rRNA from 1 species
AGUAACGGCGAGUGAAGCGGCAACAGCUCAAAUUUGAAAUCUGGCUCUUUUAGGGUCCGAGUUGUAAUUUGCAGAGGGCGCUUUGGCUUUGGCAGCGGUCCAAGUUCCUUGGAACAGGACGUCACAGAGGGUGAGAAUCCCGUACGUGGUCGCUAGCUAUUGCCGUGUAAAGCCCCUUCGACGAGUCGAGUUGUUUGGGAAUGCAGCUCUAAAUGGGAGGUAAAUUUCUUCUAAAGCUAAAUAUUGGCCAGAGACCGAUAGCGCACAAGUAGAGUGAUCGAAAGAUGAAAAGCACUUUGGAAAGAGAGUCAAACAGCACGUGAAAUUGUUGAAAGGGAAGCGCUUGCAGCCAGACUUGCUUGCAGUUGCUCAUCCGGGCUUUUGCCCGGUGCACUCUUCUGCAGGCAGGCCAGCAUCAGUUUGGGCGGUGGGAUAAAGGUCUCUGACACGUUCCUUCCUUCGGGUUGGCCAUAUAGGGGAGACGUCAUACCACCAGCCUGGACUGAGGUCCGCGCAUCUGCUAGGAUGCUGGCGUAAUGGCUGUAAGCGGCCCGUCUUGAAACACGGACCAAGGAGUCUAACAUCUAUGCGAGUGUUUGGGUGUCAAGCCCGAGCGCGUAAUGAAAGUGAACGGAGGUGGGAACCCGCAAGGGCGCACCAUCGACCGAUCCUGAAGUUUACGGAAGGAUUUGAGUAAGAGCAUGGCUGUUGGGACCCGAAAGAUGGUGAACUAUGCUUGAAUAGGGUGAAGCCAGAGGAAACUCUGGUGGAGGCUCGCAGCGGUUCUGACGUGCAAAUCGAUCGUCAAA